AUUGAACGCUGGCGGCAUGCUUUACACAUGCAAGUCGAACGGUAACAGGGUGCUUGCACCGCUGACGAGUGGCGAACGGGUGAGUAAUGCGUCGGAACGUGCCGAGUAGUGGGGGAUAACGCAGCGAAAGUUGUGCUAAUACCGCAUACGUACUGAGGUAGAAAGUGGGGGACCUUCGGGCCUCACGCUAUUCGAGCGGCCGACGUCUGAUUAGCUAGUAGGUGAGGUAAAGGCUCACCUAGGCGACGAUCAGUAGCGGGUCUGAGAGGAUGAUCCGCCACGCUGGGACUGAGACACGGCCCAGACUCCUACGGGAGGCAGCAGUGGGGAAUUUUGGACAAUGGGCGCAAGCCUGAUCCAGCAAUGCCGCGUGCAGGAAGAAGGCCUUCGGGUUGUAAACUGCUUUUGUCAGGGAAGAAAUCCUCUAGGUUAAUACCCUUGGGGGGAUGACGGUACCUGAAGAAUAAGCACCGGCUAACUACGUGCCAGCAGCCGCCGUAA
rnacentral:rRNA from 1 species